rnacentral:rRNA from 1 species
GAUGAACGCUGGCGGCGUGCCUAAUACAUGCAAGUCGAGCGAAGCGGGGACGGAUGAUUAACACGUGGAUAACCUCCUUUAAGACUGGGAUAACUUCGGGAAACCGGAGCUAAACCGGUUACUGAUAGAUGGACCCUGUGUGCAUUAGCUGGUUGGUAAGGUAACGGCUUACCAUGGCAACGAUGCAUAGCCGACCUGAGAGGGUGAUCGGCCACACUGGAACUGAGACACGGUCCAGACUCCUACGGGAGGCAGCAGUAGGGAAGCUUCCGCAAUGGGCUAAAGCCUGAAGGAGCAACGCCGCGUGAGUGAUGAAGGUCUUCGGAUCGUAAAACUCUGUUAUUAGGGAAGCGGUACCUAAUCAGAAAGCCACGGCUAACUACGUGCCAGCAGCCGCGGUAAUAC